GAGUUUGAUCCUGGCUCAGGAUGAACGCUGGCGGCGUGCCUAAUACAUGCAAGUCGAGCGAACAGAUAAGGAGCUUGCUCCUUUGACGUUAGCGGCGGACGGGUGAGUAACACGUGGGUAACCUACCUAUAAGACUGGAAUAACUCCGGGAAACCGGGGCUAAUGCCGGAUAACAUUUAGAACCGCAUGGUUCUAAAGUGAAAGAUGGUUUUGCUAUCACUUAUAGAUGGACCCGCGCCGUAUUAGCUAGUUGGUAAGGUAACGGCUUACCAAGGCAACGAUACGUAGCCGACCUGAGAGGGUGAUCGGCCACACUGGAACUGAGACACGGUCCAGACUCCUACGGGAGGCAGCAGUAGGGAAUCUUCCGCAAUGGGCGAAAGCCUGACGGAGCAACGCCGCGUGAGUGAUGAAGGUCUUCGGAUCGUAAAACUCUGUUAUUAGGGAAGAACAAAUGUGUAAGUAACUGUGCACGUCUUG
rnacentral:rRNA from 1 species